rnacentral:rRNA from 1 species
GAUGAACGCUGGCGGCGUGCCUAAUACAUGCCAGUCGAGCGAACAGACGAGGAGCUUGCUCCUCUGACGUUAGCGGCGGACGGGUGAGUAACACGUGGAUAACCUACCUAUAAGACUGGGAUAACUUCGGGAAACCGGAGCUAAUACCGGAUAAUAUAUUGAACCGCAUGGUUCAAUAGUGAAAGACGGUUUUGCUGUCUCUUAUAGAUGGAUCCGCGCCGCAUUAGCUAGUUGGUAAGGUAACGGCUUACCAAGGCGACGAUGCGUAGCCGACCUGAGAGGAUGAUCGGCCACACUGGAACUGAGACACGGUCCAGACUCCUACGGGAGGCAGCAGUGGGGAAUCUUGCGCAAUGGGCGAAAGCCUGACGGAGCAACGCCGCGUGAGUGAUGAAGGUCUUCGGGUCGUAAAACCCUGUUAUUAGGGAAGAAAAAAUGUGGAAGUAACUAUGCACGCCUUGACGGUACCCAAUCAGAAAGCCACGGCUAACUACGUG